rnacentral:rRNA from 1 species
AAUGGGCGAAGCCUGAUGCAGCGACGCCGCGUGAGGGAUGACGGCCUUCGGGUUGUAAACCUCUUUCAGUAGGGAAGAAGCGAAAGUGACGGUACCUGCAGAAGAAGCGCCGGCUAACUACGUGCCAGCAGCCGCGGUAAUACGUAGGGCGCAAGCGUUAUCCGGAAUUAUUGGGCGUAAAGAGCUCGUAGGCGGUUUGUCGCGUCUGCCGUGAAAGUCCGGGGCUCAACUCCGGAUCUGCGGUGGGUACGGGCAGACUAGAGUGAUGUAGGGGAGACUGGAAUUCCUGGUGUAGCGGUGAAAUGCGCAGAUAUCAGGAGGAACACCGAUGGCGAAGGCAGGUCUCUGGGCAUUAACUGACGCUGAGGAGCGAAAGCAUGGGGAGCGAACAGGAUUAGAUACCCUGGUAGUCCAUGCCGUAAACGUUGGGCACUAGGUGUGGGGGACAUUCCACGUUUUCCGCGCCGUAGCUAACGCAUUAAGUGCCCCGCCUGGGGAGUACGGCCGCAAGGCUAAAACUCAAAGGAAUUGACGGGGGCCCGCACAAGCGGCGGAGCAUGCGGAUUAAUUCGAUGCAAC